rnacentral:rRNA from 1 species
AUUGAACGCUGGCGGCAGGCCUAACACCUGCAAGUCGAGCGAGCGGCGGACGGGUGAGUAAUGUAUGGGGACUGCCCGAUAGAGGGGGAUAACUACUGGAAACUGUGGCUAAUACCGCAUACUGUCAGCUAACCCAUAUGGGAUUAGCUAGUAGGUAAGGUAAUGGCUUACCUAGGCGACGAUCCCUAGCUGGUCUGAGAGGAUGAUCAGCCCAACUGGGACUGCGACACGGCCCAGUCUCCUACGGAGGCAGCAGUGGGGAAUAUUGCACAAUGGGCGCAAGCCUGAUGCAGCCAUGCCGCGUGUAUGAAGAAGGCCCUAGGGUUGUAAAGUACUUUCAGUCGGGAGGCGUUACCGACAGAAGAAGCACCGGCUAACUCCGUGCCAGCAGCCGCGGUAGUUC